rnacentral:rRNA from 1 species
UGGGGAAUAUUGCACAAUGGGCGCAAGCCUGAUGCAGCAACGCCGCGUGCGGGAUGACGGCCUUCGGGUUGUAAACCGCUUUCAGCAGGGACGAAGCUAACGUGACGGUACCUGCAGAAGAAGCACCGGCUAACUACGUGCCAGCAGCCGCGGUGAUACGUAGGGUGCGAGCGUUGUCCGGAUUUAUUGGGCGUAAAGAGCUUGUAGGCGGUUUGUUGCGUCGGAAGUGAAAACUCAGAGCUUAACUCUGAGCCUGCUUUCGAUACGGGCAGACUUGAGGGAUGUAGGGGAGAACGGAAUUCCUGGUGGAGCGGUGGAAUGCGCAGAUAUCAGGAGGAACACCAGUGGCGAAGGCGGUUCUCUGGACAUUUCCUGACGCUGAGAAGCGAAAGCGUGGGGAGCAAACA